AGCGAACGUUUGCGGCGGGCUUAACACAUGCAAGUCGAACGAGAAUCCCUUCGGGAGGAAAGUGGCGCACGGGUGCGUAACACGUGGAUAACCAACCCAUUGGUUUGGGACAACACCGGGAAACUGGUGCUAAUACCAGAUGUGUCGCAGCUGUCUUCAGGCGGUUGCGAGAAAGGCCCCGCAAGGGUCGCCAACGGACGGGUCCGCGUCCCAUCAGCUAGUUGGUGAGGUAAUGGCUCACCAAGGCAAAGACGGGUAGCUGGUCUGAGAGGAUGAUCAGCCACACUGGAACUGAGACACGGUCCAGACUCCUACGGGAGGCAGCAGUGGGGAAUAUUGCGCAAUGGGCGAAAGCCUGACGCAGCCACGCCGCGUGAGCGAUGAAGGUAC
rnacentral:rRNA from 1 species